GGUGAACCUUGUGCACACUAGAGUUUGAGAAGCACCCCUCUAAACAAAUCAUUCUUAUUUCUUCUAGGGAGGAAAAAGGAAAAAAACAGAUAAGAUCUCUUCAAAAACAGCUACUUAAUGUCAAAAGAGAACGGCAAGCUGAAGUACAGAGUCGGAAUGAAUAUAUUGCUCACCUCAAGGACCAGUUGCAAGAGAUGAAAGCAAAAACCAACAUGGAAAAUCGCUAUAUGAAGAAAAACACUGAGCUGCAGAUCUCCCAGACCCAGAAGAAAUGUAACAGAACUGAGGAGCUCUUGCUCGAAGAGAUCGAGAAACUGAGGUUGAAAACCGAAGAAGAGAACAGGAUUCAUAUGGAGAUUGAAAUGUUCCUUAGAAAGGAGCAGCAGGUGGGUCACCAGAACUUUCCUGCCCUCCGAUGGGCUUGUGUUCCACUUACAAGAUACCAAGGACGGCAAAAAAAAUGUUAAGGAAAGACAUUUUUUGAGGGGUAAAAAUCAACCAUAAUUCUACUAGCCUAAUGAAUGAGCUGUAGCCCAUGUCUUGUCUCACAGUUAUCCAUCUGAAUGAAUAUUUUAUAAUUUGAGUACAGGUGAAAUUUUGUUUUCUGCCUCUAUCAUUCAGCAUUAUAUAAGAAACUGU